CACCCACGUCCUCACAGGUGAACCACUUGAGGCAGAGCCGCACGUAGUAGUCGGAGUCCGCGAGAGCCUCGGGCACCUGUACCAGAAUGACCUUGCGGCCGCGGUCUACCCAAAAGAAGUCCCGCCUCUCCAGGGAGGCCGUGACCCCCGGAGCUAAGCCAAGGCGCUUGCUGGGAGCUGUGCAGCAUGGGGCCCUGCCCCCUGCCUCGCGGGUCCCACCCCGAGUCGGUCCCUAGACGCCAGCGGCAGCCGUGCCGGGGCACGCCCCAGGGGCUCUCACCUUCCACGUGGUAUUGUUGGUCCAGCCGGACCCCACAGAAGUGGGGCACUGUCCUCAGGGUGACGUAGAGGCUCUGGGCCACGCUUACUUCGAAGCAUUCAAAGUGCACCUGGAGCUGGGCAGGUGCAGGUGUGAGCCAGGCGCACCUGGGGUCUCCACCUACCCACCCCCGGCCAGGCCAGCCCCGCCUGGCACAGCCGGAGCUCCGCAGAGGGGGUGCCCGUUCCUUGGGCAUCGGGUCGGCCAGGUGUCGAGGAAGGGGGGGCAGCCCCGGGACAGCUGCUCCUGCCUGACAAAGGCUUGGGCUGGGUGGCCCGGCAGGUGUGGGUCAGGCCCUGGCCUCACCUGCUGCCCCACAUGUAGUCGGCGGGAGGCCCUUGAGACCCGCACGCUCUGACACUGGGUCUCCUGGGUGUCGAGGCUCAUGGAGCAGGCCUCCAGGCCCCGCAGGCUCUCUGGGUGAAGGGAGGCACCGGGCAGGGCUUGUCAGAUGGGGCGGUGAAUCCUGUCCUCCUCUCCUCUCUCCGCGAUGUGCGGCUAGUGGGGCCGCCCUGCCCCUGCCCCACCGGACCCGUCGGAUGGUGGGGGCUAAAGGAGCCCGGAGCCCACCCCCCUCACAGCACACCCCGAGGCCUCUCACCGUGCAGCGUGAGGGAGGCCUGCACACGCAGGAGCAGGGAGCAACCGUCGUGGGGGGCACACCUCAUGGCAGUGGAGAGCGUCAGGGCCUCCAGGAUGGACCUGGACAUGGACGAAGGGGACUGCCGGCAGAAGCUGCUAAGAAUAUUCCCUGAGGAGGGGAGAUGAGGAAGCCAAAACCUGGAGACAGCCCAAAUGUUCAUCAGCAGGUGAGUGGGCAAACAGACCGUGGUAUAGCCAUCCAGUGCAACGGGCUUUUGACACACGCCACACACGGAUGAAUCCAGAUAUGAUUAUGCCGAGCGAAAGAAUCCAGACACAAGAGUACCCACUGCCUGAUUCCAUGCAUCUAAAAUUUGAGAAAAUGUGAGCUAAUCGCUAUGGAAAGAAAGCAGAUAUGUGGUUGUCCAUUAUCCCGACGGAGGUAAUGGUUUCACAGGUUUCACGUAAAACCUUAGCAAACUGGAUAUUUAAAAUAUAUACAGUUUGUUUUAGGUCGGCCGUAUGUCAAUAAUGCCAUAAAGCAA